CCGCCGCGACCGGCGGCACGGGUGAGUAACACGUAUGCAACCCUCGGCCGGCCGACACGGGGAGUAACCGCGGAAACGACGGCCUAGUACCCCGUCGACGCCACCGGAGGGCGAUCCUCCGGUGGCCAAAGGAGCGAUCCGGUGGCGGAUGGGCAUGCGGCGCAUUAGCUAGACGGCGGGGUGACGGCCCACCGUGGCGACGAUGCGUAGGGGUCCUGAGAGGAAGGCCCCCCACACUGGGACUGAGACACGGCCCAGACUCCUACGGGAGGCAGCAG
rnacentral:rRNA from 1 species